rnacentral:rRNA from 1 species
UACGAAGGGGGCUAGCGUUGUUCGGAAUCACUGGGCGUAAAGGGUGUGUAGGUGGCGCUGUAAGUCGGGUGUGAAAUUUCGGAGCUUAACUCCGAAACUGCAUUCGAUACUGCGGUGCUUGAGGACUGGAGAGGAGACUGGAAUUCAUGGUGUAGCAGUGAAAUGCGUAGAGAUCAUGAGGAAGACCAGUGGCGAAGGCGGGUCUCUGGACAGUUCCUGACACUGAGACACGAAGGCCAGGGGAGCAAACGGG